UAGCUACGGGAACUCUGUCGGCAUAGUCCUUACAGGGUUGCCCAAGAGACCUGUCGGCAUAGUCCCACAGGAGUUGUCCAGUCUUCGGAGCACGUCAGAAGAAUUGUCUAGCUACGGGAACUCUGUCGGCAUAGUCCUAACAGGGUUGCCCAAGAGACCUGUCGGCAUAGUCCCACAGGAGUUGUCCAGUCGCCGGUUUCCUUCUGGUAACACCCAGAGGAACCAGUUUAGUCAUGGCGACUCCUCGGUAAACCGCCAGAGCGGUGCGUGCGGUUACGGAGUCGCCGCGUGUGUACGCCGGAAGAUCUCGGAGGACGGAUCUAGGGGACCUUUCAGGCGUGGCUCUGAAGGGUGGCGACCCUCAAGUUCUCGCCGUUGGGAGCGGUCCCAGCGGUGUAAAUUAGGUAAGUGUCUGAGCGAGCGUGGGGGCCUGAGGUUAUUAUCUUAAUAAAAGGGCGGGGUGGGUAACUUUAAUAGUUCUCUGUUGUUCUUGUUUUAUUUUAGUUGUGUUUCGCUCCAUUUAGUGUCAGUGAAGUGUAAAUUUGUUAUGUGUCAAACAAUUAUGUUGAUAGAAUCGAUGUGUUUGAUUAACCAGGCACGUGUCCACUUAUUCGAUUAGUCCCUUAUUGGCCUCGCCCACCAGUCCAUUGUUUGGUUACUAUUUAGUAACUUUGAAUACAUUAUUUGACUGGUUACUUUUGGUCUCCGUGACAACGCAGGGUUGAUUUCACUGUCAUGACAUCCGGCAACUGAUACCGUUUUUCAUUUUUCUGUUCAUGUUUCCCUGAGUGGGAGUGGAGAUGUUUGGGUUGGUAUUGCCACCCGUAAAUAUAUAUAAAAACACUAUAAUUGUUGUAGUGUUGUUGUAAAAUAGUAGAAAUGCAAGCAUUAUAGACAUAUUAACAUUUAUAUUAAUUAUUUUUAUUAUUUCGUACUUGUACUGAUGGUGUGUUUUCACGCGAGUGUAAUACGCCUGAUGUCGUAAUGGGUACACGUCGCCUCGCUGAAUACUGGGGGGUAGUUGGCGGCAGGGCGAGGCAUUUAGAAUACUCUUAUCAGAUCCAGCUGUGAGCUCUUUCAGCCCACUUUUAUUUAUAUUUCUCUGAAUAACCACUCAUGGACAUGUCAUCAUUGUAUAUUAUGCCAUUAGAAGAUGUAAAUUGUUGCAUGUCAGGAAAUGUGGGGAAUUAUUGCAUGUCAGGAACCGUGUGAAACUGUUGCAUGUCACCCAACGUGGUGGUAAAUAUUAUUUAGAUAAGUUUUUUAGUGAAAUUUUAGUGUAACUGUUCACAGCUGAAGGCUGUCCAUGGCUAAAGCUUUGUGGAUUUACUGGCUGGGCGAGCCCAUUAAUCUCUCGGCAUGAGACUGUGAACGGCAAAAUAAAUCAAUACUUAACUGUUAGCGUUUAUUUCAGACCAGGGAUCACUGACAUUUUAUGGAGGGUAUUACACUUUAAUUGGGGUAUGCAUGCAUAUUAAAAUAUGCUUGGUGGUCGUACGAAAACCGGCCAAUGGGUAAAAUUAGUUGUGGUCUAUCUAGGGUUGAGGCCCCCAUUCUGCGCACGUUGUGGCGGGCCUGUAGUUUUGAAACAAUUAGGUCGUCCCGACUUUGGGGAGUCCGAGCACGGUCAUAGAUCCGCUAGGUCGCUGCGUCUAGGCGUACAUCGCAUGGCGAAGGCGCCCUCCUUGCUUACGAAUGGGGCAUUGGGGUCCGAGAGAUAGUCAAUAUACUUCCUUGGGGUGCAUGGGACGGCUUGGGGGCAGCGGCUUUAGAGUACGUUGCAUGGCGAAGGCGCCCUCCUUGCUUACGAACGGGGCAUUGGGGUCCGAGAGAUAGUCAAUAUACUUCCUCGGGUGCGACGGGACGUCUGCGGCGGGACGACUAUGACAUUCGGCGGGACGACACCUUUUGUGAGUAGGGGGUCGUCCCAAAAAGAGAAAAGUGAGGGGAGUGUAGUGCCAGUGACAUCUGGUGCCACGCCCCUAUGCAGAGUUGGUACCCGGCUUGCGUCGUUCAUGUGACGGGACCAUGCUGCAUGAUGUGGAGCCAAUCGGAUGGACGCAAAUGCCUGAUGGGAUGACCAUGCUCUCUUGCUACCCGGUCCGCGAACGUGUGCAGACGUGUUCCCUGAGGUAAGUAUUGCCAGGAAGAUAGAUGCCCUGAGGUAAGUAUUUCCAGGAGGAGCAUAAGUGUAAACCUGUGACGUAAGUAUUAGCCUGUGACUUAGUGUCUUGCCCUGGAGGUUUAGCCUGUGCGUGGGGUAGGUAUUCCCAGGAGGAUCGGUUGUCUGCAGCCGACGACGAUAGCGAACGAGCGUUUCCCUCGAAGAGUGUACUGCCGAGGACGACAGUGCCAUCCUGACAAGGUUUACAGUCGAUGCUCAUGUUGGGAAGUUAUAUUUCAAGACGCCGAGGAAGUGCGAGGUGUAUGGAAUCAGCUGGGAAGGAUCUGGAAAGCAGGUGUUUUACCUCGCAGACAAAGGCCAGUCACAUGGUAAAGGUGCAAAUGCUGUGGUCAGCCAGGUUCACCACUACCUCAACACAAACAGUUUUGGAGAACAGCAUGCUCACUUUCAGUGUGACAAAUGUUGCGGCCAAAAUAAAAACAACAUAGUCAUCUGGUACCUUCUGUGGAGAGUUCUUGUAGAUGCUGAAGAUCAAAACUACGCAUUUGAUUUGAAACAGAUUCACAAGACCCAUAGGAAUCAAAAUGCCUUAACCCUUUACCAAACAACACAUUUUGGACUUUCCCAAUUUGAAAGACGCUGCAGACGUCAAUUGAAUUAAAAUGGAAUAUGAAGGAAAUGAUCAGAAACUUCAAUGCACAAUUGCUGUCUGAUGUCGCUGCGUCUGUGGGGUUAUCGUCAAGGACGGGCCACAACAUCCGCCAGCUUGUGGGGGACACUUCCAAUCCUGUUGUUUUCUAAGACAGGAAGGAUUACCUUUCAACAUUGUUUCACCCCAUAAAGGAUGUCACCAAAUUGAAUCAAUUCCAUGUGUCAGCGGAUCAUCCCGGUGUUGUUGAGUGCAGGGAAUUUAGGGACUCACCAGUAGUCAGAAUCACUCUCAGGAAGGUCUCGGAAGUGAAUGUUAAUGUGAGCUGUGACAACCUGCCAUAAGAAAUGUUUGCGAAAGGGCUUGAUCUGGACCAUCUGACUGUGGUAUUUAUUUGAAAACAUUCGAGAAUUUUGUUGCACAGAUGAACCAAAAAACUUGCCAUGUCCGAAACGCGCUACUGGUGAGCGACAAAAUACAGACUGUGCCCCCCAAAAAAGAACAUGCAUUAAGAUGCGCAUCUGAUCUUCUCUGAUAAUGCCACAACAAUUACAUACAUCAUGUAUCAGUGUUUAUUUUGGCCAAGGUAUUGGGUGAUAUAUUUUGCCCAAAACAGUGCAAAAAAUCCUCUACUCCUAGGAAAGCUAAAACAUGUAUACGAGUGCUAAAUGUGUCAGUUGAUACAGGUUUUGAAAUGUUCAAAACAAACGUUUGUUGUUCUAAUUGCAUAAGCAUGUUUUCAAGUUUUUUAUAUCUCAUACUUACAAAACAAAAAUAUUUUUUUCCAUGUUACCAUGCAACUGUUUUCACCUUAUGGACACAGACUGCCUUUCCGAAAAACUGGAAAAAAAAUCAGUGUGAAUAUUGUAUUUAUUUUUGUUUUACAAUGAAAAUCCUAUAUUUUUGUUUGUUUGCUACAUUGUUUCCAUAGUAACAAAAACAAACAAUUUUGAUAUAUAAGUUAUUGUUUAUUUUGUCUAUUUUUCUAUAUCAGAAAUAAUGAUAAAUAAUGAUUAUUUCAUAUACUGAAACAUUGAGUAUCCAAGUGUACUUUUAACCAACACUUUUAAUGCUGUUUUUUUCCAUUCUGUUGUUUUUGAGGUUACAUUAUACUUAAAUACACACGUAACUGAUUAAAAAAGGAAAUUGUUCAUGGAACUCACAAAUUAUUGAUUGUUAUUGUUUUACUAGUUACAAAACAGUGAAAUUAAUGUUGUGUUUGCCUUUAAACAAACACAUGAUUGAAAAUACAAUUCAUAUAUUUAUAAAAGGUGUGAUUGUGUGCUCUGGUGAUUAUUAACAUGUAGAUCGGUUACCAUAGCAACACAAAUGAUACAUUUUAAAUGUCCAUAAUGCUGUUGUCAGUUUAUUGCACUAUAAUUAUUUAUUUGACUAAAGGAAAGAGUAUUGUUUUAAUAAAACAAUGUGCUUGUUUUUUUGAAUGUUUUGGUUGUUUUUUUGUUUUAAAUGAUAACUUUUAGUGACGGAAAAAUGUAGGGUUGGUCACUUUGGAAGGUCAUAAAAUUAGAUUUGAAUAUGAUAAAUCAAAAAAUCUAUAUCAUUUUUGUGAACUACAAUGUUUAGAGAAUCCAAAAUUGCCCAAAAGUCAAAAUGUGAUUUUUUGAACACAAGACUGAUUUUCCCAGCAUUGGUCAUAUAUUAUA